AGGCACGUAGCUCAGCUGGGAGAGCGCUACCUUGACACGGUAGAGGUCGGGAGUUCAAUCCUCCCCGUGCCUA
rnacentral:tRNA from 1 species